UAAGGAAUAUUGGGCAAUGGAGGCAACUCUGACCCAGCCAUGCCGCGUGCAGGAAGACGGCCCUACGGGUUGUAAACUGCUUUUAAUAGGGAGUAAUGUUAGUUACGAGUAACUAAUUGCAAGUACCUAUAGAAUAAGGAUCGGCUAACUCCGUGCCAGCAGCCGCGGUAAUACGGAGGAUCCAAGCGUUAUCCGGAUUUAUUGGGUUUAAAGGGUGCGCAGGCGGACUAAUAAGUCAGUGGUGAAAUCUACAUGCUUAACAUGUAAUGUGCCAUUGAUACUGUUAGACUAGUAUGCAAAUGACGUAGCUGGAAUGUGUUAUGUAGCGGUGAAAUGCUUAGAUAUAACACAGAACACCGAUCGUGAAGACAGGUUACGAAUUUGUUAUAGACGCUCAUGCACGAAAGCGUGGGGAUCAAACA
rnacentral:rRNA from 1 species